CAAAGAAUAGUUUAGUUUAGAAUUCUAGCUUUGGGAGCUAGUGGUGGGAGUUAAAGCCUCCCUUCUUUGA
rnacentral:tRNA from 2 species